UUGGAUAGCUUGCUAUUCGAUAUUUCUAGCGGCGGACGGGUGAGUAACGCGUGAGUAACCUGCCUUUGAGAGGGGAAUAACUUCCCGAAAGGGAUGCUAAUACCGCAUGACGCAUAUUUAUCGCAUGGUAGAUAUGCCAAAGAUUUAUCGCUCAAAGAUGGACUCGCGUCCGAUUAGCCAGUUGGCGGGGUAACGGCCCACCAAAGCGACGAUCGGUAGCCGGACUGAGAGGUUGAACGGCCACAUUGGGACUGAGACACGGCCCAAACUCC
rnacentral:rRNA from 1 species